rnacentral:rRNA from 1 species
AUUGAACGCUGGCGGAAUGCUUUACACAUGCAAGUCGAGCGGCAGCGCGGCCUUCGGGCUGGCGGCGAGCGGCGAACGGGUGAGUAAUGCAUCGGAACAUGCCCAGUCGUGGGGGAUAACACUUCGAAAGAAGUGCUAAUACCGCAUACGUCCUGAGGGGGAAAGCGGGGGAUCGCAAGACCUCGCGCGAUUGGAGUGGCCGAUGUCAGAUUAGCUAGUUGGUGGGGUAAAGGCCUACCAAGGCGACGAUCUGUAGCUGGUCUGAGAGGAUGAUCAGCCACACUGGGACCGAGACACGGCCCAGACUCCUACGGGAGGCAGCAGUGGGGAAUUUUGGACAAAGGGGGCAACCCUGAUCCAGCCAUUCCGCGUGAGUGAAGAAGGCCUUCGGGUUGUAAAGCUCUUUCGGCAGGAACGAAACGGUGGGCUCUAACAUAGUCCGCUAAUGACGGUACCUGAAGAAGAAGCACCGGCUAACUACGUG